GGGUUGUGAGGUUAAGCGACUAAGCGUACACGGUGGAUGCCCUGGCAGUCAGAGGCGAUGAAGGACGUGCUAAUCUGCGAAAAGCGUCGGUAAGGUGAUAUGAACCGUUAUAGCCGGCGAUGUCCGAAUGGGGAAACCCAGUGCAAUUCGUUGCACUAUCGUUAACUGAAUACAUAGGUUAACGAGGCGAACCGGGGGAACUGAAACAUCUAAGUACCCCGAGGAAAAGAAAUCAACCGAGAUUCCCCCAGUAGCGGCGAGCGAACGGGGAGCAGCCCAGAGUCUGAAUCAGCUUGUGUGUUAGUGGAACGGUCUGGAAAGUCCGACGGUACAGGGUGAUAGUCCCGUACACCAAAAUGCACAGGCUGUGAACUCGAAGAGUAGGGCGGGACACGUGGUAUCCUGUCUGAAUAUGGGGGGACCAUCCUCCAAGGCUAAAUACUCCUGACUGACCGAUAGUGAACCAGUACCGUGAGGGAAAGGCGAAAAGAACCCCGGCGAGGGGAGUGAAAAAGAACCUGAAACCGUGUACGUACAAGCAGUGGGAGCACCUUCGGGUGUGACUGCGUACCUUUUGUAUAAUGGGUCAGCGACUUAUAUUCUGUAGCAAGGUUAACCGUAUAGGGGAGCCGCAGGGAAACCGAGUCUUAACUGGGCGUUAAGUUGCAGGGUAUAGACCCGAAACCCGGUGAUCUAGCCAUGGGCAGGUUGAAGGUUGGGUAACACUAACUGGAGGACCGAACCGACUAAUGUUGAAAAAUUAGCGGAUGACUUGUGGCUGGGGGUGAAAGGCCAAUCAAACCGGGAGAUAGCUGGUUCUCCCCGAAAGCUAUUUAGGUAGCGCCUCGUGAAUUCAUCUUCGGGGGUAGAGCACUGUUUCGGCUAGGGGGUCAUCCCGACUUACCAACCCGAUGCAAACUACGAAUACCGAAGAAUGUUAUCACGGGAGACACACGGCGGGUGCUAACGUCCGUCGUGAAGAGGGAAACAACCCAGACCGCCAGCUAAGGUCCCAAAGUCAUGGUUAAGUGGGAAACGAUGUGGGAAGGCACAGACAGCCAGGAUGUUGGCUUAGAAGCAGCCAUCAUUUAAAGAAAGCGUAAUAGCUCACUGGUCGAGUCGGCCUGCGCGGAAGAUGUAACGGGGCUAAACCAUGCACCGAAGCUGCGGCAGCGACACUAUGUGUUGUUGGGUAGGGGAGCGUUCUGUAAGCCUGCGAAGGUGUGCUGUGAGGCAUGCUGGAGGUAUCAGAAGUGCGAAUGCUGACAUAAGUAACGAUAAAGCGGGUGAAAAGCCCGCUCGCCGGAAGACCAAGGGUUCCUGUCCAACGUUAAUCGGGGCAGGGUGAGUCGACCCCUAAGGCGAGGCCGAAAGGCGUAGUCGAUGGGAAACAGGUUAAUAUUCCUGUACUUGGUGUUACUGCGAAGGGGGGACGGAGAAGGCUAUGUUAGCCGGGCGACGGUUGUCCCGGUUUAAGCAUGUAGGCUGGUUGUCCAGGCAAAUCCGGAUAAUCAAGGCUGAGGUGUGAUGACGAGGCACUACGGUGCUGAAGUAACAAAUGCCCUGCUUCCAGGAAAAGCCUCUAAGCAUCAGGUAACAUCAAAUCGUACCCCAAACCGACACAGGUGGUCAGGUAGAGAAUACCAAGGCGCUUGAGAGAACUCGGGUGAAGGAACUAGGCAAAAUGGUGCCGUAACUUCGGGAGAAGGCACGCUGGUGUGUAGGUGAAGCCCCUGCGGGUGGAGCUGAGACCAGUCGAAGAUACCAGCUGGCUGCAACUGUUUAUUAAAAACACAGCACUGUGCAAACACGAAAGUGGACGUAUACGGUGUGACGCCUGCCCGGUGCCGGAAGGUUAAUUGAUGGGGUUAUCCGUAAGGAGAAGCUCUUGAUCGAAGCCCCGGUAAACGGCGGCCGUAACUAUAACGGUCCUAAGGUAGCGAAAUUCCUUGUCGGGUAAGUUCCGACCUGCACGAAUGGCGUAAUGAUGGCCAGGCUGUCUCCACCCGAGACUCAGUGAAAUUGAACUCGCUGUGAAGAUGCAGUGUACCCGCGGCAAGACGGAAAGACCCCGUGAACCUUUACUAUAGCUUGACACUGAACAUUGAGCCUUGAUGUGUAGGAUAGGUGGGAGGCUUUGAAGCGUGGACGCCAGUCUGCGUGGAGCCAACCUUGAAAUACCACCCUUUAAUGUUUGAUGUUCUAACGUUGGCCCCUUAUCGGGGUUGCGGACAGUGUCUGGUGGGUAGUUUGACUGGGGCGGUCUCCUCCCAAAGCGUAACGGAGGAGCACGAAGGUUAGCUAAUCCUGGUCGGACAUCAGGAGGUUAGUGCAAUGGCAUAAGCUAGCUUGACUGCGAGCGUGACGGCGCGAGCAGGUGCGAAAGCAGGUCAUAGUGAUCCGGUGGUUCUGAAUGGAAGGGCCAUCGCUCAACGGAUAAAAGGUACUCCGGGGAUAACAGGCUGAUACCGCCCAAGAGUUCAUAUCGACGGCGGUGUUUGGCACCUCGAUGUCGGCUCAUCACAUCCUGGGGCUGAAGUAGGUCCCAAGGGUAUGGCUGUUCGCCAUUUAAAGUGGUACGCGAGCUGGGUUUAGAACGUCGUGAGACAGUUCGGUCCCUAUCUGCCGUGGGCGCUGGAGAAUUGAGGGGGGCUGCUCCUAGUACGAGAGGACCGGAGUGGACGCAUCACUGGUGUUCGGGUUGUCAUGCCAAUGGCACUGCCCGGUAGCUAAAUGCGGAAGAGAUAAGUGCUGAAAGCAUCUAAGCACGAAACUUGCCCCGAGAUGAGUUCUCCCUGAGACUUUAAGUCUCCUGAAGGAACGUUAAAGACGAUGACGUUGAUAGGCCGGGUGUGUAAGCGCAGCGAUGCGUUGAGCUAACCGGUACUAAUGAACCGUGAGGCUUAACCUUACAACGCCGAAG
rnacentral:rRNA from 1 species